rnacentral:rRNA from 1 species
UACGUAGGGUGCGAGCGUUAAUCGGAAUUACUGGGCGUAAAGCGUGCGCAGGCGGCGCGUUAAGACAGGUGUGAAAGCCCCGAGCUUAACUUGGGAAUUGCGCUUGUGACUGGCGUGCUGGAGUGUGGCAGAGGGAGGUGGAAUUCCACGUGUAGCAGUGAAAUGCGUAGAUAUUGGGAAGAACACCGAUGGCGAAGGCAGCCAUCUGGACCGACACUGACGCUGAGGCGCGAAAGCGUGGGGAGCAAACAGG